AUGGCGGUGACCCUGUGGGCCAUUUGGUUUGCAAGGCGUAAGGCGAUCCAUGAAAACAUUUUCCAGAGUCCGCAACAAAUUAGUUCUUUUGUGAACUCUUAUCUUCAUGAGCUACAAACUAUCCCUAAACAGUUCAGACAGGCGCGCAUAAUUGUGUCAAAACCAUCGACUGCUCCUCGAUGGCUUCCUUUGGAGGAGGGGGUAGCAAAGAUCAACGCGGAUGGGGCCGUUUCUGGUGACGGUAAAGUGGGUGUGGCGGCUGCAAUAUGUCGAGAUCACACAGGAGAAUACCUCGGCUCUUCGGCUGUUGUGUUCAGUGGCAUCACGGAUCCUUUGAUCCUUGAAGUUUAUGCGUGCAGAGAGGCAAUGGCCCUGGCAGAAGACCUCAACAUCCACAGGCUACGUAUUGCAAAUGAUUGUCAAGGGGUGAUCGCGGACAUCAACUCCGGAAGCAGAGGACCACAUGCAGUGAUUCUACAUGAAAUAUCAGAACGGAAGAGUCUUUUUCUUUCUUGCAAUUUUGUUUUUGAACGUAGAAAUUUUAAUUUCGAGGCUCAUGAUCUCGCCAAGUUUGCUAGUAGACUUUCGGUUGGUCGUCAUAUCUGGUUGGGCAUGCCUCACGACCUUAACUUUGUACCCACAAACAUUUUGUUGGUUUAA
rnacentral:rRNA from 1 species